CCAAGUUUGGGCAGAUUUUUAAGAACCAUGUAAAGUAUGAAACUACAAAGAAACUAAGGUCUUGCCAUUUGCUAUCCACUUGGGAUCUGUGGGAAGAAGUACAUCACUUUGUUACAUCCAGCUACUGUGCAGUGGCUAAAGUGGAUGGUCAACUUGACUGUCUGGGGAGCUGUCCAGGAGACCAGUAAAGCACAUUCUUGGUAUGUCUAGGUGGGUCGUGUAGUUAACUUUGGGUGCUACGUCUGUUCUCUAGCCCUGUUCUUCUGCUGUGCUUCCUGACUGCCAUGAACUGAGCAGAUUUUCUCGCCCAUACACUUCUACAGGGAUGAUUCCACCUUGCAGCCAGACCAAAUGAAUACACUGGAACCAUGAGACCAAUGAAGACUCUUCAUCAAGUUGUAGGUGUCAGGUAUUGUGACACAGCGACAGGAAAGCUGACUAAUAUGCACUAGCAGAGAAGUUGGUUAUUUAGUCAAACGCUAGGUCCUUUACCAAGGCAAGGUCCCUCUUCCUCUGGGGGUAUGUAUAUAGGUCUGGCCCUUAUUCUGCUUAUUUAAGGGGCAAAGCAUAAAAAUGAC
rnacentral:lncRNA from 1 species